UACAGAGGGGGCAAGCGUUGUUCGGAAUUAUUGGGCGUAAAGCGCUCGCAGGCGGUCUUUUAAGUCUGAUGUGAAAUCUCGUGGCUCAACCACGAACGGUCAUUGGAAACUGGGGGACUUGAGUACAGAAGAGGAGAGUGGAAUUCCACGUGUAGCGGUGAAAUGCGUAGAGAUGUGGAGGAACACCAGUGGCGAAGGCGACUCUCUGGUCUGUAACUGACGCUGAGGAGCGAAAGCGUGGGGAGCGAACAGG
rnacentral:rRNA from 1 species